rnacentral:tRNA from 1 species
UUAACCAAAACCAAGGCAGAGGUAUAUUAUUGUUAAUAAUAGCAUUGAAAAAAUUUUUCUGGUUAAG